rnacentral:rRNA from 1 species
CCUACGGGAGGCAGCAGUGGGGAAUAUUGGACAAUGGGGGCAACCCUGAUCCAGCAAUGCCGCGUGUGUGAAGAAGGCCUGAGGGUUGUAAAGCACUUUAGUUGGGGAGGAGAGUUGGCAGGUUAAGAGCUAGUCAACUGGACGUUACCCAAAGAAUAAGCACCGGCUAACUCCGUGCCAGCAGCCGCGGUAAU